rnacentral:SRP_RNA from 1 species
AGCUGCCCCUUCUGCGGCGGGGUCGUGUGAACCGGGUCAGGCCUUAAUCGGAGCAGCCCUAAGCAUCAGAUUUCGGGUGUGGAAGGGGUGGCAUUC